UCCGCGCUCAAAGAAUCGCAUUCAAAGCUCACGCACAGCGGAACCUUUGGUUUCUGCAUACCAUCCUAGCUUUGGGAGAAAGUCCCCGGACCACCCUACCUUUGAAUUCCAUUCAAAGAACGUUAGGACUUGCCGCGAGGCGCCGCCAUAAAAGCAUUUUCACUGCGGCUCUUUUUUUCUAAACUCUGCCUCUCACUCUCCUCUGGACACCUGGUUUUGCUGCCUCCGACCUCGCUGUCGUUUGUACUCCUCGUCGACUUCCUGACCAGUUGUCGUCAUGUUCGAAGCUGAGGGAUAUCUGGGUGGAUGAAGAUAUGAGUCCGCCCCUCGGGCUACGGCUAGAUGUCUUGACGCGGAGAGCUGGUGACUUGGUCGUGCGAGUCACGAGGAAGAGAUGGUGAGGGUUUACAAUGGGUAGGUUGGAAGACAGGGGAUUUGUCUCAGAGGGCCAAGAGUGCACAAUUGGAGGUUGCGCAAUUCGUCACAUGAGUAUAGUUAUGCGAUUGCUCUUUGCUGCUUGGAAACAGGUAGCAAGGGUAACUCGAUGGGGCUUAUUCUUGAGGCGCGG
rnacentral:RNase_MRP_RNA from 1 species